UUUGAAUUCCAUGAUCCCUAGCCUUUUAGCUGUAGAGAGAGGCAUAAGGCUAACAGAUGCUCCCAAAUCACAAAGGCA
rnacentral:sRNA from 1 species